AUCUUAUCAAGAGAAGCAGAGGGAAAUGGCCCGAUGAAGCUUCAGCAACCUCUAACAUCGUUAGAAAGGUGCUAAUUCCAGCAAGACAUAAGUGUCUUGGGAGAUAAGAG
rnacentral:ncRNA from 2 species